AAAGAGGAAAAUCCAUCUUCUCAGUUUCCUGAGUGUAGAGAUGUGUGUGGGAACGUCUGUGAACUUCCUUCUGGCCCUCUUUAUAAGGGGACAACGGUCUUGAAAGUCCCCCACAGGCAGAAAGCAAAGGGUUAAUUGUAAAAGCACUUGAGAGUUUGUUUGGAGAGUAAAUACACAUUUCUGGCACCCAGAGGGUACAAAGAGCCUAAAUUUCGCUUUCCUACCUCGUGGGAAAUCUGGGUAAAUGUUUGCACAAGGAUCCAGCCUGUCACUUUGGGGAACUGAGGAUUUCCUCCGGCCAGCGGCUGCGCUUCCUUGCCCAUGUAAGGGCACUGCGGGCAUGAGUGAUGGAUGGGCAGCCAGAUGGAAGGACUCACACAAAAAUAUCCUGCCCGAGUCGGGGAGAGGCAGGCAUGGGUGGGAGGAGGCUCGGAUUUUCCAUCCCCUGCCUGCUGCUCCUAUGGCUGGUCUGAGAAGGAGAAGCUGGAAGGCGGCGGCGCACCUGGAGCAGCAGCUUGGGAAGGUCAUGGCUGUGCCUUAGACAAAAUAGCAUUUGCCAGCAGGGAAAGGCUUGUGGAGCUUUGCACUGACUCACUCUUCCUGUUCAUUUUCCACGUGGAGCUUUGCACUGACUCACUCUUCCUGUUCAUUUUCCACGUGAAACACACAAAAUGCUAAUUUCUCCGUGAGGCCUGUGGUGCUAAAUUGCCUGUGCUUGUUGGAAGCGAAGCGAUGGAUGGAUUUGUCACAGGGCUCGGCGCUUCUGGAGAAGUUCUGAGCAGCAGCAGCUCCUGACGUGGACAGUCCAGCUGUCUGUGGAGAUGAGAAUUUGGAUGCAGGGAUUUAAUCUGGGAGACUGAGAGCUCCAUACAUUGUGAGUGUGUGUACAUCGAGAGAUGUGUGAGUGCAUGUUCUGCAGCUGUUGUACCCAAAAGCAGGACUUGAGCCAAAGCUGCUCGAGCUACAUGGAAAUAAUGACUUGGGUGUUGGGAUGGGCCUGUUCACAUCCCUCAGAGCUCUUUAAACUCUUUGAAUCAAGAAAUUAUUAAAUUAUUAAACCUACAACCAUUGUAG
rnacentral:lncRNA from 1 species